rnacentral:rRNA from 1 species
UCAUUUAAAGAAAGCGUAAUAGCUCACUGGUCGAGUCGGCCUGCGCGGAAGAUGUAACGGGGCUAAACCAUGCACCGAAGCUGCGGCAGCGACACUGUGUGUUGUUGGGUAGGGGAGCGUUCUGUAAGCCUGUGAAGGUGUGUCGUGAGGCAUGCUGGAGGUAUCAGAAGUGCGAAUGCUGACAUAAGUAACGAUAAAGCGGGUGAAAAGCCCGCUCGCCGGAAGACCAAGGGUUCCUGUCCAACGUUAAUCGGGGCAGGGUGAGUCGACCCCUAAGGCGAGGCCGAAAGGCGUAGUCGAUGGGAAACGGGUUAAUAUUCCCGUACUUGGUGUUACUGCGAAGGGGGGACGGAGAAGGCUAUGUUGGCCGGGCGACGGUUGUCCCGGUUUAAGCGUGUAGGUGUGUGUUCCAGGUAAAUCCGGUUCACUUUAACACUGAGGCGUGACGACGAGGCACUACGGUGCUGAAGCAACAAAUGCCCUGCUUCCAGGAAAAGCCUCUAAGCAUCAGGUAACAUCAAAUCGUACCCCAAACCGACACAGGUGGUCAGGUAGAGAAUACCAAGGCGCUUGAGAGAACUCGGGUGAAGGAACUAGGCAAAAUGGUGCCGUAACUUCGGGAGAAGGCACGCUGACACGUAGGUGAAGUGAUUUACUCAUGGAGCUGAAGUCAGUCGAAGAUACCAGCUGGCUGCAACUGUUUAUUAAAAACACAGCACUGUGCAAACACGAAAGUGGACGUAUACGGUGUGACGCCUGCCCGGUGCCGGAAGGUUAAUUGAUGGGGUCAGCGCAAGCGAAGCUCCUGAUCGAAGCCCCGGUAAACGGCGGCCGUAACUAUAACGGUCCUAAGGUAGCGAAAUUCCUUGUCGGGUAAGUUCCGACCUGCACGAAUGGCGUAAUGAUGGCCAGGCUGUCUCCACCCGAGACUCAGUGAAAUUGAACUCGCUGUGAAGAUGCAGUGUACCCGCGGCAAGACGGAAAGACCCCGUGAACCUUUACUAUAGCUUGACACUGAACAUUGAGCCUUGAUGUGUAGGAUAGGUGGGAGGCUUUGAAGUGUGGACGCCAGUCUGCAUGGAGCCGACCUUGAAAUACCACCCUUUAAUGUUUGAUGUUCUAACGUGGACCCGUUACCCGGGUUGCGGACAGUGUCUGGUGGGUAGUUUGACUGGGGCGGUCUCCUCC